rfam:Salmo salar isolate Sally breed double haploid chromosome ssa06, whole genome shotgun sequence.
AUUGUAACUUAUUGUAAGUCGCUCUGGAUAAGAGCGUCUGCUAAAUGACAAAUG